rnacentral:rRNA from 1 species
UUGAACGCUGGCGGCAGGCCUAACACAUGCAAGUCGAACGGUAACAGGAAACAGCUUGCUGUUUCGCUGACGAGUGGCGGACGGGUGAGUAAUGUCUGGGAAACUGCCUGAUGGAGGGGGAUAACUACUGGAAACGGUAGCUAAUACCGCAUAAUGUCGCAAGACCAAAGAGGGGGACCUUCGGGCCUCUUGCCAUCGGAUGUGCCCAGAUGGGAUUAGCUAGUAGGUGGGGUAACGGCUCACCUAGGCGACGAUCCCUAGCUGGUCUGAGAGGAUGACCAGCCACACUGGAACUGAGACACGGUCCAGACUCCUACGGGAGGCAGCAGUGGGGAAUAUUGCACAAUGGGCGCAAGCCUGAUGCAGCCAUGCCGCGUGUAUGAAGAAGGCCUUCGGGUUGUAAAGUACUUUCAGCGGGGAGGAAGGGAGUAAAGUUAAUACCUUUGCUCAUUGACGUUACCCGCAGAAGAAGCACCGGCUAACUCCGUGCCAGCAGCCGCGGUAAUACGGAGGGUGCAAGCGUUAAUCGGAAUUACUGGGCGUAAAGCGCACGCAGGCGGUUUGUUAAGUCAGAUGUGAAAUCCCCGGGCUCAACCUGGGAACUGCAUCUGAUACUGGCAAGCUUGAGUCUCGUAGAGGGGGGUAGAAUUCCAGGUGUAGCGGUGAAAUGCGUAGAUAUAUGGAGGAACACCAGUGGCGAAGGCGGCCUGCUGGGCUUUAACUGACGCUGAGGCACGAAAGCGUGGGUAGCAAACAGGAUUAGAUACCCUGGUAGUCCACGCCGUAAACGAUGUCGACUUGGAGGUUGUGCCCUUGAGGCGUGGCUUCCGGAGCUAACGCGUUAAGUCGACCGCCUGGGGAGUACGGCCGCAAGGUUAAAACUCAAAUGAAUUGACGGGGGCCCGCACAAGCGGAGGAACAUGUGGUUUAAUUCGAUGAUACGCGAGGAACCUUACCCGGGCUUGAAUUGCAACUGAAUGAUGUGGAGACAUGUCAGCCGCAAGGCAGUUGUGAAGGUGCUGCAUGGUUGUCGUCAGCUCGUGUCGUGAGAUGUUGGGUUAAGUCCCGCAACGAGCGCAACCCUUAUCCUUUGUUGCCAGCGGUCCGGCCGGGAACUCAAAGGAGACUGCCAGUGAUAAACUGGAGGAAGGUGGGGAUGACGUCAAGUCAUCAUGGCCCUUACGACCAGGGCUACACACGUGCUACAAUGGCGCAUACAAAGAGAAGCGACCUCGCGAGAGCAAGCGGACCUCAUAAAGUGCGUCGUAGUCCGGAUUGGAGUCUGCAACUCGACUCCAUGAAGUCGGAAUCGCUAGUAAUCGUGGAUCAGAAUGCCACGGUGAAUACGUUCCCGGGCCUUGUACACACCGCCCGUCACACCAUGGGAGUGGGUUGCAAAAGAAGUAGGUAGCUUAACCUUCGGGAGGGCGCUUACCACUUUGUGAUUCAUGACUGGGGUG